GAUGAACGCUGGCGGCGUGCCUAAUACAUGCAAGUCGAGCGAACAGACGAGGAGCUUGCUCCUCUGACGUUAGCGGCGGACGGGUGAGUAACACGUGGAUAACCUACCUAUAAGACUGGGAUAACUUCGGGAAACCGGAGCUAAUACCGGAUAAUAUAUUGAACCGCAUGGUUCAAUAGUGAAAGACGGUUUUGCUGUCACUUAUAGAUGGAUCCGCGCCGCAUUAGCUAGUUGGUAAGGUAACGGCUUACCAAGGCAACGAUGCGUAGCCGACCUGAGAGGGGGAGCGGCCACACUGGAACGGAGACACGGGCCAGAGUCCUAAGGGAGGAAGAAGGAGGGAAGGUUGCGAAAGGGGUGAAAGCCUGAAGGAGCAAAGAAGCGGGAGUGAUGAAGGUGUAAGGAUCGUAAAACUCUGUUAUUAGGGAAGAACAAAUGUGUACGUAACUAUGCACGUCUUGAGGGUACCUAAUAAGAAAGCCACGGCUAACUACGUG
rnacentral:rRNA from 1 species